rnacentral:rRNA from 1 species
CACGUAGGCGGUUCGUCGCGUCCGGUGUGAAAGUCCAUCGCUUAACGGUGGAUCUGCGCCGGGUACGGGCGGGCUGGAGUGCGGUAGGGGAGACUGGAAUUCCCGGUGUAACGGUGGAAUGUGUAGAUAUCGGGAAGAACACCAAUGGCGAAGGCAGGUCUCUGGGCCGUUACUGACGCUGAGGAGCGAAAGCGUGGGGAGCGAACA